UGGGAAACAUCUAUCACUGAGCCGAUCGUGCUUGACAUGGGCGUCACACUUAGGGGACAGGUUGAGAGCGCAAAUACGGAACACGGCCAUUAGUGCCAUCUCAGUCCCCACCAGCUCCUCGACCUCGGUCAGCUCCUCAAGCUCCAGAGCCUCUGGAUCUUCAGACUGUCACCUGGUGGCACCUCCCUUCCUGAUCACCCAGGGCACCGGAUGACAGAUUCCCGCCAAGUGCUGGACAGGUGCUGCAUACAUUGAAUCCGUACAGAAUGUUACCUUUCUUCUUUACAAAAAAUUAAAAAUUAUUUUAUCAGCAGGUGUUUGCAGAACAUAAUGCUGACACACGUCACGGGGAGUUGGCCUUACCACAACUGCAGCAGCUUCAAGCAGCACAGAGUCUGACUGCCUCACCGUUUGGGUAGACUGGGAGUCCAGGCCAAAUUUAGCUGGGCGCUGUGCUCAGGUCUCCCAGGGCCACAAUCAAGUAAUGCCAGGGCACUGAAAUGUUGUACCCGGAUGUUGCAAGCAGAGCAGGACCGGGGGCUCAGCUCCACCUCCAGAGUGCCACACCAGGAGCUCUGGCUCGGGUGCUCCCAGGAGCAGGCUCCAGCCACAGCCAGGUAACAUCAGUCCCC
ensembl:lncRNA